rnacentral:lncRNA from 1 species
GUUCUGCAUGUCACAGAGGAAGUAGGCAUAUUUGAGGAAGACUUUCUCAAGGAUUUUUUUCAGAAGUUACACGGAAUAUGUCUGCCUCUCCUGUCUCACCUCCUUCACCUCUUCCACCUCUGCCACCCUGAGACAGCAAGAAAAACUCCACCCUUUUUUCCUCUUCCUGAGCCUAUCAACAUGAGGACAAUGGGAAUGAAGAUUUUAUGAUGAUCCACACCCACUAAGUGAAUAGGUCUCACCACUGCAGCCAUCAUCAAAAGUGGUUAUUACCAAGACUAGAUUGCAGCUCCGGACAGAGCAGCUGGCAGGGACUCAUAUUGUGAAUUGCAGCUCCAGCUCGACUGCAAGAACAAACCAGCAAUCCCGAGAGGACCCACAGACCCUCUAAAGGAAGUGGACUGCUCCUGCAGGACCUGGGAGACACCCCAAAUAUUAUCUAUAAACUCAAUUUUAGGAAGUCAAGUAUCUUCCCGAAAGUCACACAAGUAAAGAUGGACUUGGGUCUCUAAUCCAUUUGUUUGACUUCAAAACAUGUUAUCUCCAUUCCACUACCUCUUCUGUUCAGUGGAAUGAAAGAGGUUAAAACAGUUCACAGGGUCCAUGGAGUGAAUGAAAAAUGAAAAUGGGAAGAUAAAAUACAGAUUAUAGUUUUCAAGGAUUGGAGCUGGAAGGAGUUGCCUGUUUGAGAGCUGUGUUAAGGUCUGAGAAACAUGUGCAUGUUGUGCACUGCAAGAAAGGAAUCAAGAGGAAGGAGAGGAUGGAGAUAUAGAAGAUGAAAAUCAGCCAGAGUAACAAGGCUCCAGGAAAGCCACAUGGCUAUGUGCAUCCCUUAGAGAAACAAAUUGGAAAAAGGCACCUAAAUCAAUGCUGAAGACACACAGAAUAUUGAAGGAUCAACUCUACUUCUUCGAAAUAUACUUUAAUACUUUCACUGCCAAACCAGAGUUCAAGAAAUAACUGCGGUGGAAUGAUAAUGAGAAGUUUAACAGUUUUAUGAUGGUUGAAGCUGACUUUAUGAAAGUUGAUAAAUUUCAUCUUGUAGGUUUCAAUUUCUCAUUCCCUACCGAGAGAUGGGGAGAAUACAUUGACACUGCAUUUCAAAUUGGCUAGAUCAGAAGGAACAGCAGCUAAAAUCCAUUACAACCCAAUUACAUCCAUCAGCUGAAGCUGUGUGCAUUCACUUGUGAACAUCAGCAUUUAAUCCAUAAAGAGGAACUAAUGAGAAAUUUGAAAAUGGAAUCCACGCAUCAGUAAGUUUAGAGAGAUUUUUCUGGGAUUAAUGAUCUGCCAGAGCAUCUUCAGCAUUCUGGAAAGCUAUUCUCUCUGGGUUUGUUUACUGACCAAGAGAAAAAAAAAGGGGGUUUCCUUCUGUCUGCUCAUCAAAUAUUUGAAAGACUACUCAUUUCAGUCCUUGAAAAUGGGAUACCGUGAGCUUUGGAAGUAAGUUCUGAAGGGGUUGCUAUUUUUUGCAAGGUCAAGUCUGGGUCAAGUCUGGCUUCCUGAAACUAUAGCCUGGUGUUCCAUCCUAUAGAAAGGGGGAAAGAGAAAAUGGAUGUCAAGCAUAUGUUUCCAAAAUUUUGAAUACAAGUAACAGACAGAGAAAAAUGGUACAAAGGGUUAAAAGCAGUCUUAGUAACAUUGGAGAUGUGGAGAGAAAAUUAGAAGAGAGAAGCAGAAAUAAGGAGGCCCUGAGUCACAAGUAAG